rnacentral:rRNA from 1 species
GGACGAACGCUGGCGGCGUGCCUAACACAUGCAAGUCGAGCGAGGAGAUUCCUCGGGAUGAUCCUAGCGGCGGACGGGUGAGUAACACGUGGGCAACCUGCCUCAUAGAGAGGAAUAGCCUUCUGAAAGGGAGAUUAAUACCUCAUAACAUUGCAGUUUCGCAUGGAACAGCAAUUAAAGGAGCAAUCCGCUAUGAGAUGGGCCCGCGGCGCAUUAGCUAGUUGGUGAGGUAACGGCUCACCAAGGCGACGAUGCGUAGCCGACCUGAGAGGGUGAUCGGCCACAUUGGGACUGAGACACGGCCCAGACUCCUACGGGAGGCAGCAGUGGGGAAUAUUGCACAAUGGGGGAAACCCUGAUGCAGCCAACGCCGCGUGAGUGAUGACGGCCUUCGGGUUGUAAAGCUCUGCCUUCAGGGACGAUAAUGACGGUACCUGAGGAGGAAGCCACGGCUAACUACGUGCCAGCAGCAGC